UAAGAGGUCCUGCCUGCCCGGUGACUCAAAAAGUUAAACGGCCGCAGUAUCUUAACUGUGCGAAGGUAGCGCAAUCACUUGUCCUUUAAUUGAGGACCUGUAUGAAUGGCAAGACGAGGGCUUAGCUGUCUCCCCUGCCCCGUCAAUGAAAUUGAUCUCCCCGUGCAGAAGCGGGGUUAACCCUAUAAGACGAGAAGACCCUAUGGAGCUUUAGACAACCAAACGCCUCACAUAAGACAGCCUAAAAGAAAAAAGCUGCCCAUCUUAGUGACACCCUCCGUUUUAUGUCUUUGGUUGGGGCGACCGUGGGGAAAAGAAAACCCCCCAUGAAGACGUUAAAGACUCUCUUUUAUAACCAAGAGCCUACUACUCAAAGUAUCAGACACCUCUGACCCAAAUGAUCCGGCUUAUUAACCGAUCAACGAACCGAGUUACCCUAGGGAUAACAGCGCAAUCCUCUCCUAGAGCCCCUAUCGCCGAGAGGGUUUACGACCUCGAUGUUGGAUCAGGACAUCCUAAUGGUGCAGCCGCUAUUAAGGGUUCGUUUGUUCAACG
rnacentral:rRNA from 1 species